AUUGAACGCUGGCGGCAGGCUUAACACAUGCAAGUCGAGCGGAGAGAGGUAGCUUGCUACUGAUCUUAGCGGCGGACGGGUGAGUAAUGCUUAGGAAUCUACCUAUUAGUGGGGGACAACAUUUCGAAAGGAAUGAUAAUACCGCAUACGUCCUACGGGAGAAAGCAGGGGAUCUUCGGACCUUGCGCUAAUAGAUGAGCCUAAGUCGGAUUAGCUAGUUGGUGGGGUAAAGGCCUACCAAGGCGACGAUCUGUAGCGGGUCUGAGAGGAUGAUCCGCCACACUGGGACUGAGACACGGCCCAGACUCCUACGGGAGGCAGCAGUGGGGAAUAUUGGACAAUGGGCGCAAGCCUGAUCCAGCCGUGCCGCGUGUGUGAAGAAGGCCUUAUGGUUGUAAAGCACUUUAAGCGAGGAGGAGGCUACUUUAGUUAAUACCUAGAGAUAGUGGACGUUACUCGCAGAAUAAGCACCGGCUAACUCUGUGCCAGCCGCCGCGGUAACAC
rnacentral:rRNA from 1 species